AACCAUUCUCACCUGCGGCUAGACCUGCGGAGGGAUCAUUACCAAUUAUAUAUAUGUUAGUUUGUAUACCGCUGUCAAAGGGGGUUAUACACAACUACUAUGUAAACGUUGAACUAGAUCAAUUGGUGUGGAUUGCUUGGGAAUGGACGAAGCGACAAGCCUCUUCCGGACAGGCAAGCCCCACACUGAUAACCUUUUUCAUAUCAUUUACUCGUAUAUACUACCACAACAAAAAAAAAU
rnacentral:misc_RNA from 1 species